UUUUGUAAGGUCUCUUGUACAUAUCCUUCUUCAUCAAUAUAUAAAAGAAAUUUUCUUUUGAAUGUCUUCUCCAUUUUUAUUUUCAAACAUGUUUCUUGUAAAACUUUAACACAAUCUUAUGCUUUGAACAAUGCGUUCGAGAUUUGAUUUAGGGUGGCUUCCUCGAAGUCACCACAGUCGAGGUCGAAUAAGGUUUGAACCUGAACCACAUGCCUUUUAGGGUUUGUUUCGAAUAAUGAUGAGUCCUCAAGCCAUAGUCAAGUCAGUUUUUAUUUGGGCUCGGAAUAGUUGAACCCUUAAGUUCAGACGUAGUGAGAACAAGAUCUCCAACUCUAAGUGUAUUGGCCCUUAGGCUCUUUAUAUUGGGCCAAUGGCCUCUACAAGAUGUCUAUUAUUCCCCUCUUUCU
rnacentral:lncRNA from 1 species